UAGAUUGAAAUUGUGAUAGUUAUUUGCUAGAAUACGGAUGUACGUUUCGUACUAUGGCGAUAAAUGGUUUUUCAUAAUAGGUGUUUUGGACCCGAAGGCGGAAUUCGGCGCCUCCACCGUUAGUAUGGGGGCGAAUUAGUAUCGACAGGCAUUAAAGGUCUAACUUUUGCUCGGUUGAGUGAUCCCGUGAUUCACAACACUUUUUAUAAGUGCAAACGAUAAUUUCGAAGCUGAGCCUGCAAGUCUUGCAGUAGCUGCUUAGUUCUCUAAGUAGUCAGCGCGGCUUGGGGCAGCCGGGCAACAGAAUGCCCCACU
rnacentral:tmRNA from 1 species